rnacentral:rRNA from 1 species
AACGCUGGCGGCGUGCUUAACACAUGCAAGUCGAACGAUGAAGCCGGAGCUUGCUCCGGUGGAUUAGUGGCGAACGGGUGAGUAACACGUGAGCAAUCUGCCCUUGACUCUGGGAUAACUGCGGGAAACUGUAGCUAAUACCGGAUACGACACCUUGGGGCAUCCCAGGGUGUGGAAAGAAUUUCGGUCAAGGAUGAGCUCGCGGCCUAUCAGCUAGUUGGUGAGGUAAUGGCUCACCAAGGCGACGACGGGUAGCCGGCCUGAGAGGGUGACCGGCCACACUGGAACUGAGACACGGUCCAGACUCCUACGGGAGGCAGCAGUGGGGAAUAUUGCACAAUGGGCGAAAGCCUGAUGCAGCAACGCCGCGUGAGGGAUGAAGGCCUUCGGGUUGUAAACCUCUUUUAGCAGGGAAGAAGCGAAAGUGACGGUACCUGCAGAAAAAGCACCGGCUAACUACGUG